rnacentral:tRNA from 3 species
GGGCCCGUAGCUCAGCCUGGACAGAGCGCCGGCCUUCUAAGCCGGAGGUCCCGGGUUCGAGUCCCGGCGGGCCCG